GAGCCUGUAUUGGGUUCCAGUAUGAAUGAAGUUAUUGGUUAAUUUAUUUUUUGGUUUUUGUUUUGAACUUUUUAUUAAUAUAAAAAAGUAUUAAUGUAGUAAAACAAAGAUAAGUCUUCGGAAAUUUUCUUAGAGGGUAUAAUGUUGGGUUGUACCUUUAAGGUUUUCUAGGGCAGAAUUUUAUAUAAUUAAUUAUAACUAUUAAUAAGUUAAAAAAUUACUCCGGAGUUAACAGAAAAUCAUACCUAAUCUAGCUCUUAUAGUAAGGUAAGUUUUACAUCGAUGUUGUAUUUAAGUUUAUUAAAAAAGGAGAAAUUUUAAUUUUUAAGACUGUUCUUCUUUUAAUUAAUUUAACGUGAUAUUAGUUUAAUUCAUUGCAAGAUAGAAUUGUUUAUCUUGUUUAUUAUUAAUUUGUAAUUUUAAUAGUACGAAAGGAAAAUCAAAAAAAGUU
rnacentral:rRNA from 1 species